UCUAUCAAGACUAUGUCAUCAGCAAAUAGCAUACACCAAGGCACAUCCCCUUAAAUAUGACGAGUUAGAGCAUUCAUCACCAAGGCAAACAAAAGAGAGCUAAGCGUCGAUCCUUGAUGGAGCCCAUAACCACUGGAAAAUGGUCUGAAUCGCCAUCCACCGUCCUAACCCUAGUCUUAGCUCCAUCGUACAUGUCCUUGAUUACUCUGAUG
rnacentral:lncRNA from 1 species